CAUAAAGAUAGAAGGAAUGCAACAAAGGAGGGGGAGAUUGGCUGGACAGAGAGAGAUAAAGGACUAAAAAGAUAGAAAAAGUGGCUUUAGGGAAAUGGAGGAUGACAUGAAAAGCAGGGAGGGAGUGAAGAGAGAAAUGAAAUGACCUGGCAGACAGAUUUAAAGAGAGAAGAGGGCAGGAGAAGAGAGUAAAGGGGAGCUCAAAAAAUGAAAGUGAAAGAGAGAAAAAGAGAGAAAAAGAGAGAGGGAUAUAGAGGGGUUGGGAAAAGAGAGAGAAGACAGAGAUGGAAAGAGAGAAAGAGAGAUAUACAGUUGAAGUCUGAAGUUUACAUACACUUAGGUUGGAGUCAUUAAAACUUGUUUUUAAACCACUCCACAAAUUUCUUGUUAACAAACUAUAGUUUUGGCAAGUCUGGUUAGGACAUCUACUUUGCAAGACACAAGUCAUUUUUCCAACUUAUUAUUCACUGUAUCACAAUUCCAGUGGGUCAGAAGUUUACAUACACUAAGUUGACUGUGCCUUUAAACAGCUUGGACAAUUCCAGAAAAUUAUGUUAUGGCUUUAGAAGUGUCACGCCUUGGUCAUUGUAUUUUCUGUUUUCGUUAUAUAUUUGGUCAGGCCAGGGUGUGACAUGGGUUUAUAUGUUGUGGUUCGUAUUGUUUUUUUUUGUAGUUAUUGGGAUUACGGCCGAGUAGGGGUGUUGCAUAGGCUUGGCUGCCUGAGGCGGUUCUCAAUCAGAGUCAGGUGAUUCUUGUUGUCUCUGAUGGGGAACCGUAUUUAGGUAGCCUGGGUUUCACUUUGCAUUUCGUGGGUGAUUGUUCCUGUCUCUGUGUAGUUGUUCACCAGAUAGGUGUAAUAGGUUUCACGUUCCGUUUGUUGUUUUUGUAUUUAUUAGUUAUCAUGUAUCGUUCCGUUUUUCUUCAUUAAAGACAUGAGUAACCACCAGGCCGCAUUUCGGUCCGACUCUCUUUCAACAAACGAAGAACGCCGUUACAAGAAGCUUCUGAUAGGCUGAUUGACAUCAUUUGAGUCAAUUGGGCGUGUGCCUGUGGAUGUAUUUCAAGGCUUACCUUCAAACUCAGCGCCUCUUUGCUUUACAUCAUGGGAAAAUUAAAAGAAAUCAGCCAAGACCUCAGAAAAAAGAUUGUAGAGCACCACAAGUCUGGUUCAUCCAUGGGAGCAAUUUCCAAACGCCUGAAGGUACCACGUUCAUCGGUAACAAACAAUAGUAUAAACACCAUGUAUAAACACCAUGGGACCACGCAGCCGUCAUACCGCGUUCUGUUUCCUGGAGAUAAACAUACUUUGGUGCUAAUCAAUCCCAGAACAACAGCAAAGGACCUUGUGAAGAUGCUGGAGGAGACAGGUACAAAUGUAUCUAUAUCCACAGUAAAACGAGUCCUAUAUCGACAUAACCUGAAAGGCCGCUCAGCAAGGAAGUUACACUCAGCAAGGAAGUUACACCAGCUCUGUCAGGAGAAAUGGGCCAAAAUUCACCCAACUUAUUGUGGGAGGCUUGUGGAAGGCUACCCGAAACGUUUAACCCAAGUUAAACAAUUAAAAGGCAAUGCUUCCAAAUACUAAUUGAGUGUAUGUAAACUUCUGACCCACUGGGAAUGUGAUGAAAGACAUAAAAGCUGAAAUAAAUCAUUAUCUCUACUAUUAUUCUGACAUUUCACAUUCUUAAAAUAAAGUGGUGAUCCUAACUGACUGAAUACAGGGACUUUUUACUUGGAUUAAAUGUCAGGAAUUGUGAAAAACUGAGUUUAAAUGUAUUUGGCUGAGGUGUAUGUCAACUUCCGACUUCAACUGCCUGUUUCAAGAGACAGAUAGGGAGAGAGAGGAGGUGCCAGAUGUAACGAAAGCACUCCCAUCUUGGCCCUAUAGAUAAGGAGAGUAAUUGGGUUUUGUCAAUUAACGAACAGAAAACAAGCAGCCCCUCUCUCUGUCCUCACUGAACUCUGCUGACGCAUUCACUUUAACACACAACACACAGGUGUGCAUAGUCAUUCAUAGACAAACACAUACACACAACACACAGGUGUGCAUAGUCAUUCAUAGACAAACACAUACACACAACACACAGGUGUGCAUAGUCAUUCAUAGACAAACACAUACACACAACACACAGGUGUGCAUAGUCAUUCAUAGACAAACACAUACACACAACACACAGGUGUGCAUAGUCAUUCAUAGACAAACACAUACACACAACACACAGGUGUGCAUAGUCAUUCAUAGACAAACACAUACACACAACACACAGGUGUGCAUAGUCAUUCAUAGACAAACACAUACACACAACACACAGGUGUGCAUAGUCAUUCAUAGACAAACACAUACACACAACACACAGGUGUGCAUAGUCAUUCAUAGACAAACACAUACACACAACACACAGGUGUGCAUAGUCAUUCAUAGACAAACACAUACACACAACACACAGGUGUGCAUAGUCAUUCAUAGACAAACACAUACACACAACACACAGGUGUGCAUAGUCAUUCAUAGACAAACACAUACACACAACACACAGGUGUGCAUAGUCAUUCAUAGACAAACACAUACACACAAACAAAACGCUCUCCACUUGCCCUUUCACUCUCACUUGUCGUAUCCUCUUUAAAAUCACUGUCUUUGAUAUUGGCCCACUUUGUAGCAAAUGACUGUCAUGGAUGCAUCUAAUGUAGAUAGCUUAGAGGAACAGUAUUUUCUUUUUCAAAAUUAAGGGGUUCAUAGUUAUUUGCUCUCUCUCGGUGGUGGAUAGAAGGGAGACACCUUGUCACGCCCUGGCCUUAGUUAUCUUUGUUUUCUUUAUUAUUUUGGUUGGGUCAGGGUGUGACAUGGGGGAUUUAUGUGUUUGGCCUGGUCUAGGGGUUUUUGUAUGUUUAUGGGGCUGUGUCCUUUCUAGGUAGUUUGUAUGUCUAUAGUUACCUAGAUUGGUUCUCAAUUAGAGGCAGCUGUCUAUCGUCGUCUCUGAUUGGGAACCAUAUUUAGGCAGCUGUCUAUCGUUGUCUCUGAUUGGGAACCAUAUUUAGGCAGCUGUCUAUCGUAGUCUCUGAUUGGGAACCAUGUUUAGGCAGCUGUCUAUCGUUGUCUCUGAUUGGGAACCAUAUUUAGGCAGCUGUCUAUCGUCGUCUCUGAUUGGGAACCAUGUUUAGGCAGCCAUAUUCUGUGGGUACUUUGUGGGUGGUUGUUUCCGUGUCUGUGUUUGUUUCGGUUUUCACAUUUGUCGUUUUGUAUUUUGUAGUGUUCUCGUUUGUCGUCGAUAUUAAAUAUGUUGAACACUAACCACGCUGCAUUUUGGUCCUCCUCUCCUUCAGCGGAAGAAAACCAUUACACACCUAUCUAGUGGUUAUUUAUGGAAUCAUUCUUACUCGCAAAAGGCUCACAGCUCAAUCUACAGUCGUGGCCAAAAGUUUUGAGAAUGACACAAAUAUUAAUUUCCACAAAGUUUUUAAACCUAAUCAUUGUACGCAGAGGGAGAUGAAUAAAUAUUUGUAUUUACUUUCAUCUACAUGUGUCCUCAGCGGGGGGAAAAGUCUGUAAUGCAUUAUUUCAUCACUAGCAAAGUCAUACACACACACACACACACACACACACACACACACACACACUAACCC